GACGUAGGGGGCCAGCGUUGUUCGGAAUUACUGGGUGUAAAGGGUUCGUAGGCGGUGUAGCAAGUCGGGAGUGAAAUCUCUGGGCUUAACCCAGAGGCUGCUUCCGAAACUGCUGUGCUUGAGUGUGGGAGAGGCGCGUGGAAUUGCAGGUGUAGCGGUGAAAUUCGUAGAUAUUGGGAAGAACACCGAUGGCGAAGGCAGCCAUCUGGACCGACACUGACGCUGAGGCGCGAAAGCGUGGGGAGCAAACAGG
rnacentral:rRNA from 1 species